ACAUCACUGUGUCUACUCUGCACAUGAGAUUGGCUUCUGUCCUGCUGCUCUUGCUAGUCCUACACUCAGGAUGUCAGAACUGUAUUUCCCAGCCCUUUUUCCCUUGAGACGCCCAGCUGAGCUCCCCCUAUAAGUGCUUAAAUCCCCUGCUGUCAAGCCUGAGCCCUGCUGAUUAUGUGGGUCGGAGAGAGCCUGCAAAAACUCAGUACUCUUGUGAUAUUAAGAGUUACCGGGUAGAGGCUCUCAAAAUGCCAGCAUGUGCCAGAACGCAGGGAUGCAGGCUCUCUUUCGCAGCCAGAUCUGCCAGCAAGACAUCCAACUCCUCUGGAGAGAAAAACCUUCCACAACUUAAUAGAAGAUGGAUUUUUUUCUUUCUUUGUGUUUCUUUGUUAGUUGAUAUAAAGCCAUUCCAGUCUUUCUUGCUUACUGGCUGAAGAAAAGACAUUUGAAUACUCUGGCUUUUUUGGAGACUCAGAAAAGAUGGGGAUUCCCAAAAAUCUCAUACUUUGAGUUAACGUCAGCAAUCGUAUCUGCCCCAUUUGCCUGCUUUUUCAGCCUGAAGCGAAAGGAGUUCAAGCAAUAACAAACUUUAAAAAGAGAUAAAGACUGCAUGAAUUACUGUAUUAUACUCAUGGUACAAUAAUGGAGAAAGGUCCCCAUGUUGGGCAGGGGAAUGCGUGUCACUGUUUCAGUACUUAAGAAUCAGAAGUGAUUCACUGCACAGAGCAAAAUAGCAGCUGUGUUCAGAUCUCAGCCUUUCCCUGGACAGAAAGAAUAGUUUUCACUCAUAAAAACGAGUAUGUGUCUUUAUUCUGCCAUGGGAUAAUGAUGCACCUUGGGUCUGAUCCAGAGCUCCCUGAAAUCCAGAGAAAGACUCGUGUUGGCCUCUGUGUACCCUUAACCAAAGAGAAGAAUUCCCUUUUCUCUCCACCCUGGAACCCCGCACCACAUCUUGCCUGCCUGGUCAGUAACAACCACCAACAAUUAACAUCUACAAAAGUAGUAAAAAAAGAUGUUAAAAGAUGGAUCAGCAGCUCAGGAUUUGAACCUCCACAUGGUGUAGAUGGCGAAGGUGCAGCUCUAUGCACGUCUGCAAGGUGGGGGAUAUAUGGACAUGGGUCUCCAGUCCUUGUAACAGGAGCAGUGACUUUAGCACAGGGCAAGGUGACCUGUGGUGGGUUUCAGUGCCCUUUGGUGGAAUUUGGUGGUCUGUGGUUUUGUGAGUUGGUGUGGUCCCACAAGGAGCCAGAUGGGAAUAAAUUCAUCCUCAAACUGCACUUAUAGUCUGUUCAGCACAGAUUAACUAAAUCCCCUGAACUUCCAUGAGCACCUGUAAUCAUAGCAUUAAAAACCUGUAGUAUUUAUUACUGCAGAGUUGUCGGUGGCAGACCAAGGGUUUAGGGAUAGCACUUCAUGCUGCAAGAAAGAAAAAUCCCCCCUCAGAUUUUCUUCACCACCACCACCUAGCCCUCCCCCACUCCCCCCCAGAAAAAAAAAAAGGAAGAAAAAGAAAGCAAACUAUAGCAAACUGCUUGUCUAACUGAAGGAAAAAAAAUGCUGCUUAGAUCAUUUACAGAAAAGAGACCUCUUCGUUCUUUUAUAUUAAGGUGAAAAGAAAAUCCCGUUCCACCAAAACUCUUUGAAGGUUUGUAGAAGCACUUCCACUUCAGUCCAAGAUGAUCUGGAAGAUGACGACAUCCACAAAGCUUCAGCUUUUGGGUUUUUUUUUUUUUUUUAGCUUUGUUAAACUCUCCUUUUGCAGAAAGAGAAAAGAAAAGGAAAAAAAAUGUAUCAAGAAACUUAAAUGGCAGCUUUCCCUCCCUUGGCUCCAUCUCACCAGAUAAAGAGCAUUCAUGGAAGGAGUCUGCACUCUUCUUUUACCAGAAGCAUGUGAAAAAGUCCAGAGGCUCUAGCAGACCAGGAUGCCUUUUCUGAAUAGGACCUUGCCCACUGAAAGACAAUUGAUACUCUUCUUUUAGCAUCUUCCCCACACUGCAGUAGUUUAUAAAGACAGAGAAACAGAGGAAAGAUUGGGAUCUGAAUGGGAGCAUUAAAUACUCCCCUUUCCUUUUAGCUG
rnacentral:lncRNA from 7 species